GGAAAAUUAGGGAACGUCCAGGUAAGUACAACCUUGUGAAAGUGAGGAGUUGGAAAUUCUCACUCCGAGACCUACAGUGCAGAAAAAUGUCAUUUUUAUUUGGAAUUUAGACAUUUUCAAAACUCUAAUGACAGAGUCUUCUCACGGAGAUAAGGAAAAGGAAGUUUUGUUGGAAGAAAUUGAUGACUUGGUACUAGAUUUAGCAGAAACACAUUUUAACUACAAAGAUUUGCAGCAUUAUGAAAUGAAGAAUGUUUAUGACAAUCCUCUGAUAGAUACUGGACAGAAUGAGAAACAAUCUAAUUUUUCUGAUGACCCAGAAAAAUAUUGUCACCAGACUAAUGACACCCUGUCAGUGGAAGAAAAACAAAGAUUCAACAAACUAGCUUCUUUAUGUAGAAAAGUUAAAAAAUCUUAUUGUGAGAAAUGUAGGCAGAAUAUUGAUGGUGUUAAUAUUAAAGAAUACAGUUAAAGGGAACCACAGACUGGAUAAUCUUGACAUUAGUAUAACAGAACAGUACUAAGUAUAGAAAGUCCCUAAACAGUAUAACAUGAAAAAGGCUUAGCUCAUCAGAUAAAAAAAAGUGUAUAAUGCUUGAAAUACUUGCCAGCGAACGUUCAGCGUGCACAAAUUAAAUUGUUACUAUGUGCAAUACAUAGUAAUACAUACUAAAGAAAGUAAUUUAAGCUUGGUGGUACAAAACAUCAUUAAAAUCCCACAAAUGUUGGACACAUGUUAAAUAUUAUAGAUUUAUGUUUCCUUCAAUUUGCUAAAAAGAAAUGCCAGGUGGUUCACAGUAAUAAAAUUUUGUAUGUGGAUGCUUAAUGUUAAGGUGGUACCUAACACUACAGGGAGAUAACUCUGUAAAAUCAGCUUAAUGUUUUAAAUACGUUGUUUUGUUAAGGGAAUAUUAAGAUUCUCAAUGAUCAAAAUUUGUGUUUGUCAAACUGCUAUAUAACCAGUGUAAUUUUUCUGAUAAAACGGUUGGUUCAAAUUUUCUAAAUUUUUUAUAUUUUUGUCAAUGAAUCAAAGUUAGUACUUUGUAAAAAUUUUAAGAAAAUUAAACGAGCCAAAUUAAUUUGAGUCAAAGUGUUGGGUACCACCUUAAGUAACAGUACAUGUACAUUUCAAUGUUUAUUUUGAGGCUCUAUAGAAACUUCCUGCAAUUUUUUAUGUAUGUGUCUGUCCCAAGUGAUUAAAUUUUUUUAUACAAUGGUUUCGGAAAGGGAUAAAUUUCCAUAGAAUUAGAGAAUUAUAUAUAAAAUAACACUGUAAAAGAUUUGUAGGCAUCAUACCUAUGUAAUUAUUGUAUAUUAUACAGGAUCAAGAACUAUUUAGAUAUAUUUUGUACAUCCUUCAAGUUGUUAUUCAAGACAAAAUUACACAGAUACCACCAUUCCACAGAAUAUGGAAUUUAGACAUUGAUGGUUAGAGUUAAAGCCAUCUCAUAUUACAAUUGAGGAUGAAGAUAUCUUUUAUAUAAGGCCAUCUGAUAUAAUCAAUUUGCAGCUAUCAAAAGUUAAAAUUGCCAAACAAAUUCAAAGAUAUAUAUGUCUGUCUGUCAAAUCCUCCAUAUAUGUCUUGUAAGGACAACUCCUCUUGAACCAAUGGACUGAUGAGUUUAAUAUUUUCACAGUUGAAAUACAACCUGAGCACAUGUAUGAAGGAAAAUAAGGUCAUGAUGGUCCAAAAUAUUUAAAUGGAAAUAAUUAUAAUCUUAGUUUAAUAUUGCAAUAUAUGUCAACACUGGUCGUGUAAACACAACUCCUCAUAAAUGGCAUGCUCGGUAUUGAUGAAACAUUACUCAUAAUGUUGCAUGCAAUAAGCAAUUGAGAUUGUGCACAAUGGAAAAUAAUUGUGGUUUAAAAUAUUUCAAGGGAGAUAAAUUUACAUCGCAAUAUGUUGCAACAGGUCUUAUGUAAGAUCAUGCAACCCUCUUUAAUGGCUUGAAUGAAAUUGAUCAAACUUUUUACAGUUGCAGUAUACAAUCAUGGAAUAAUAACUGUUUAAGUCCCUUUAUAACUUGCAAAAGCAAUGAAUUUGUGUUCUUAUAAUUUUGUUUACAGUGUAGCAGAUGUUCAUCUGUACAUUUGUCUGUUCGUCCGUAAAAACAUGUUUUUAUGCUACAUAGCUAAAAAUAAAAAUGUGAGAGAAAAAAUCUAGCUAUUCUAUAAAAUUCCACAUAAUAUAAACAAUUUUUAAUAACACAGUUAGUCAGGCUCACUGCAGUAGAAACAGUGCCUUACAAGAUAGUCAGUCUCAGUACAGUAGAAGCAGUGUCUUACAAGAUAGUCAGUCUCAGUACAGUAGAAACUGUGUCUUUCAAGAUAGUCAGUCUCAGUACAGUAGAAGCAGUGCCUAACAAGAUAGUCAGUCUCAGUACAGUAGAAGCAGUGUCUUUCAAGAUAGUCAGUCUCAGUACAGUAG